UAGGGAAUCUUCGGCAAUGGACGAAAGUCUGACCGAGCAACGCCGCGUGAGUGAAGAAGGUUUUCGGAUCGUAAAACUCUGUUGUUAGAGAAGAACAAGGACGUUAGUAACUGAACGUCCCCUGACGGUAUCUAACCAGAAAGCCACGGCUAACUACGUGCCAGCAGCCGCGGUAAUACGUAGGUGGCAAGCGUUGUCCGGAUUUAUUGGGCGUAAAGCGAGCGCAGGCGGUUUCUUAAGUCUGAUGUGAAAGCCCUCGGCUCAACCGGGGAGGGUCAUUGGAAACUGGGAGACUUGAGUGCAGAAGAGGAGAGUGGAAUUCCAUGUGUAGCGGUGAAAUGCGUAGAUAUAUGGAGGAACACCAGUAGCGAAGGCGGCUCUCUGGUCUGUAACUGACGCUGAGGCUCGAAAGCGUGGGGAGCAAACAGG
rnacentral:rRNA from 1 species